GCUGAAAGCAUCUAAGCACGAAACUUGCCCCGAGAUGAGUUCUCCCUGAGACUUUAAGUCUCCUGAAGGAACGUUAAAGACGAUGACGUUGAUAGGCCGGGUGUGUAAGCGCAGCGAUGCGUUGAGCUAACCGGUACUAAUGAACCGUGAGGCUUAACCUUACAACGCCGAAG
rnacentral:rRNA from 1 species